rnacentral:rRNA from 1 species
AUUGAACGCUGGCGGCAGGCCUAACACAUGCAAGUCGAACGAGUGGCGGACGGGUGAGUAAUGUCUGGGAAACUGCCUGAUGGAGGGGGAUAACUACUGGAAACGGUAGCUAAUACCGCAUACCAUCGGAUGUGCCCAGAUGGGAUUAGCUAGUAGGUGGGGUAACGGCUCACCUAGGCGACGAUCCCUAGCUGGUCUGAGAGGAUGACCAGCCACGCUGGAACUGAGACACGGGCCAGACGCCUCCGGGAGGCAGCAGUGGGUAAUAUUGCACAAUGGGCGCAAGCCAGAUGCAGCCAUGCCGAGUGUAUGAAGAAGGCCUUCGGGUUGUAAAGUACUUGCAGCGGGGAGGCGUUACCCGCAGAAGAAGCACCGGCUAACUCCGUGCCAGCAGCCGCGGUAAUAC